rnacentral:rRNA from 1 species
UACGGGGGGGGCAAGCGUUGUUCGGAAUUACUGGGCGUAAAGGGCUUGUAGGUGGCCAACUAAGUCAGACGUGAAAUCCCUCGGCUUAACCGGGGAACUGCGUCUGAUACUGGAUGGCUUGAGUUUGGGAGAGGGAUGCGGAAUUCCAGGUGUAGCGGUGAAAUGCGUAGAUAUCUGGAGGAACACCGGUGGCGAAGGCGGCAUCCUGGACCGGUAUUGACGCUGAGGAGCGAAAGCCAGGGGAGCAAAGCGGGG